rnacentral:lncRNA from 1 species
CUACACCCAUCUCCCCCGACCUUCUAGCUCCUUCAAAUUCACGCCUUUCCCCGUGCCGCACCUUCCUCGCCGGCAGCUCUCUCCUCCGCCUUUCUCCUGCUAUGCCCGACUACCUCCUCACGUUACCCUCACCCUGAAUCACCCCUGAGCCCCCUCGUUUGAGCACUCUCUCAACCAUUUCCCCAGUAUGCGCUCAUCUACAGAGGUCGAGGAGGGACGGCCCUUCUUCAUCCACUUCUUUUGGCGGUGUACGCAACAUGGCGACAUCGAUGGGGACCGUCAAUCUAGAGCACUAUCAUGUUGUUGCCGUCUCGAUUGAGCUCGUCGCCCUUCAUCUCUGUGUACGGCAAGCUGUGAUGAGUACAUUGGUAUCAUCUUGGAGUUUGUUAGGCUUGUGUUUGCCCCUCUUCUCCUGAUACCAAUUGGUUGACCCACUUUUUGUUGUAGCUCGUGACGUUAGAUGCUACAAUACUUUUAUUUUUAUGUUGCAAAUAAGUCUUAAUUGGAAAAUUGUUGGAGAACAUGGACUUGUUGGUCUCCAGUGAGCUCCUCCCAAGGACGUGCAAAUGGCUGGACUCAUACUUGGAGGGUCAAAUCUGGAGAAACACAGACCAUUUGAAUGUUUUCAUUUUUAACUGUUGCAACUGAUUUCAUGAUGUUUCAUCUAGUCAUUUCAAAUGUGG